rnacentral:lncRNA from 1 species
UUUUAAAGCUGAAAUUUGCAUACCACAUUCAAAAGUUUAUAUCACUUCACCAAAUUUCAAAAGGUUUCUCUCAUUUUAACAUUAUAAAUAAGCAAUGAAAAUGAACCAUUUCUAUACAAACUAAAAACAACAAAGGACCAACAUGGUCAACAAAAAUCUAACAAAUGCAGAGAGGAAUUCCAUCAUCCAGUUCCUUCUUCAAAAUUCUAAGAAUGACAAGCCAUUGAGGGGAAACAUCCAGGAAGCAGCCAUUAAGUUCGAUAGCUCAAGAAGAACGAUUAGUUGUUUGUGGUCUGCAACAAGACAAAGGUAAAGUUAUACAUCUACAAAGUCUUAAACCAAAUGUUCCAAAGGACAACAAAAAUCCAGAUUGAUAUUGCACUGAUUUAAAAUCUGAAUCUUUUCAAAAGAUCCACUAUAAGGAAGUUAACAAGUGGUAUAACACUGUGUGGAGAUGGUUGAAUAGGGGCCUGGUCAAAGCUCACACAUCGGCAAUCAAAUCAGACCUCACAACAUCAAACAUGCUUUUGAAGUUAAAGUUUUCGCUAAAAGCACUUGAGUUUGAUAGGAUUUUGAAGAUACUUAAGUUUAAAAGUAUGAACAACAUAGUGCACAUUGAUGAAAAAUGAUUCUAAAAUCACACAAACCUCACAUAAAUUCUACCUAACAACAGGGGAGAUUAAACCACAUAGAACUUGCCAAAGUAAAAACUUCAUCACUAAAAGUGAUGUUUAUAUGUGAUAUAUGCAAACCUAUAUUUGCAGUAGAUGGAAUAAUGUUUUUUUAUGGAAAAGAUAGGCAAUUUUCCCAUUCACCCAAAAGGUUCCAGCACAAAGAAAUAGCAAGAACAUACAUCAGAAACCCUAGAGACCAAACCAAUCAAUCGAUUACAAAAGAGGUGAUAAAAGAUUACUUGAUCAACCAGGUAUGGAGCGAGCAUCAAUUAUGCAUGAACUGUAAUCAUCAUCAUAUGUAUGGAUUUAAACUAGUGUAUUUAGAAUAGUUUCUCAUUAUGUAAGAUGAUUUUUAGUGUGUACUCUAAGGUUUGAGUAGUAAAUUUCAGACUGUACCGACCAUAAAAUUUAAAUGGCCAAAAUUUGCAAGCAAAAAAGUCUCUAUA